rnacentral:rRNA from 1 species
CCCGGGGGAUUGCCUUAGUACGGCGAGUGAAGCGGCAAAAGCUCAAAUUUGAAAUCUGGUACCUUCGGUGCCCGAGUUGUAAUUUGGAGAGGGCAACUUUGGGGCCGUUCCUUGUCUAUGUUCCUUGGAACAGGACGUCAUAGAGGGUGAGAAUCCCGUGUGGCGAGGAGUGCGGUUCUUUGUAAAGUGCCUUCGAAGAGUCGAGUUGUUUGGGAAUGCAGCUCUAAGUGGGUGGUAAAUUCCAUCUAAAGCUAAAUAUUGGCGAGAGACCGAUAGCGAACAAGUACAGUGAUGGAAAGAUGAAAAGAACUUUGAAAAGAGAGUGAAAAAGUACGUGAAAUUGUUGAAAGGGAAGGGCAUUUGAUCAGACAUGGUGUUUUGUGCCCUCUGCUCCUUGUGGGUAGGGGAAUCUCGCAUUUCACUGGGCCAGCAUCAGUUUUGGUGGCAGGAUAAAUCCAUAGGAAUGUAGCUUGCCUCGGUAAGUAUUAUAGCCUGUGGGAAUACUGCCAGCUGGGACUGAGGACUGCGACGUAAGUCAAGGAUGCUGGCAUAAUGGUUAUAUGCCGCCCGUCUUGAAAACCGAACCACA